rnacentral:rRNA from 1 species
UACGUAGGGUGCAAGCGUUGUCCGGAAUUAUUGGGCGUAAAGAGCUCGUAGGCGGUUAGUCGCGUCUGCUGUGAAAACUCGGGGCUUAACUCCGGGCCUGCAGUGGGUACGGGCUGACUAGAGUGCGGUAGGGGAGACUGGAAUUCCUGGUGUAGCGGUGAAAUGCGCAGAUAUCAGGAGGAACACCAGUGGCGAAGGCGGCUUCCUGGACACCAACUGACGCUGAGACGCGAAAGCGUGGGGAGCAAACAGG